CGGAGCUCACACAUCUCUCAAACCUCCCGUUUGCCUUUCGAGGCCGUGGCUGCCGUUUAAUCCGGGUCUCGGGGUAAAUUCAACAUUUUGAUCUUUUGAUAACAACUCUUAACAGCUGCUGGGAGCACACUGUAUGCACGAUGCCAUUCGGCUAUUCUAAACCUGGAUACUCAAACAGGGAGAGAGAGAAAUGAAACAGAAGGUGCAGGACAUGCUGACGGAGCGAUGGAAGAGGACAGCGGAGCAGAAGGAAGAAAGAUGGAUGACAAGCGAGGGAGGGAUCUUUCCUCGCCCAGAUGGCGUGCAGACGAUGGCACUUCUGCGCUGCUCU
ensembl:lncRNA